rnacentral:lncRNA from 1 species
CAAAAAUUAGAAAUUGACAUUCUAAUUCUAUUUUCCCUAGAAAAUUGAUGCCUAUCAAACGGUGCCUUAGUAUUUUUUACUUUUUGUCAAAGUUUUAUUUUAAUUUGUCAACAAAGACACCUGUAGAUGGAUUAUUGCUUUAAUAUUUGCGAGAGAAUUUGAUAUGAUUUUUAUUUUUUUAUUAUUUCAUUCCAUUAUUAAGAUAUCGAUUUAAUAUGUCGUCAUAACAUUACAAAUAACAUAACUGCAUGUGCAUAUAAUUUGGAAAAGUACAUUGAACCGAUAAAAGAAACUCCAGAACUACGGGCAGCGUAGUUGCAGAAUAGAGAUAGACUUAACGUAGCCACCAGGUACACCGAUCGUCCCUUGAUCUGGUGUAGCAGAAGUUUAUUUUUAUCACCUCCGCCAGCAGGUGGACGUCCGCGGCCGGUUGUCGUGGCUUUAGGAUAUUCCGGCAGAGUGGACAUGUUCUGUGUCCAUAUCCUACCCACCUAUCUAAGCAAACCCUGUGAUAAAGAUGGUGGCAUCUCAGCUCUCUAACCUCAUCCCCUUCAUCAAUUCUGCAUAGGCAAACAGCACACUCUACCGAUGAAUCCCCACACUCUGCAUUACUAUUAUUUUCAUAACUCAUUACGUUAAGGUCAUCAGCAUAGUCUGGUAAUUCGAUUCCACGAGGCUGAAAGAAGGAUUGGUGAAGAAGGAUAUCCCAUGCCCACUUCAGCUGGGAUGAAAUAAGAAUUAUGUAUUCCAAUACAACUGACUUCAUCCUAUGCGUAAAGAUAAUAGUUUCUUGGGACACUUCUGCUGUAGCUUGUUUUGAAAGGGAAGGGGUGAAGCGGGUGCAGUAUUGCUUCUCUAUGGCACCUGUGGGAUGUGCAUUUGGCCAUUUAGGUAUAUAUAGGCAUUUUUGAGAGAGAGAGAGAAUAUGUGGC